GACUUUACAUAUCUUCACCUACUCUCCAAGGAUGGUCCUGUGUGGUGGUGCUUCCUUUGAAAAAGGACUGGAAACUCCAGCUAGCUCAAAACAGGUCAGCAAGAUUCCCAAAGGGGAGGAUGAUAGAUACCACGCCAUAGUAUGCCAGUGUUUUUUCAUCUGCACUGGUCCAAUUCAAAGUGCUAGUAUUAAUUUUUUUUAAGCCCUAAAUUAUUUGGGACCAGUAUUAUUGGCAUCUGUCCAUCUCAGAAGACAAUGGAAUACGCCUCCAGAGAGGCUCACUGAACACCUACUUUCAGCACCAGCACCAGGCGUCGGGAACGCGCUCCGAGCGCGCUCCGGAGCAGGAUUCCUGCUCCCUCGGGAGUGGCAAACGAGUUCUUCGUCGGAGCACGCCAAAGCCGUUCUUUGCCUCGUGGGAAAUCAAAGCUGGAGAGAGGAGAAAACUUUGCGAAACGUUUUGCUUCGCCUCCUCGCCGCUGAAGGUGGAAUUCCUUUCCCUUCUCCUUGGGCGAUUUCUUUGGACACUUUCCAGUUCAGAGCAUCGACCUUGAAUGGACAAAGAGAAGGGAAAUAUAUAUAUUUCUUGGAAUUAAAUUAAAUGCAGGCUA